GCAUGGUCUGUGUGUGUGUCAGUCCCAGUUAAGGAGGUGUGGCCUCUGUGGAAUGAGGUGUGGCUUCUGUAUCUUUAUUCUUAGUGAAGGACAUGUGGCUUCUGUGUCUUUAGUCUCAGUGAAGGAGGUGUGGCUUCUGUGUCUUUAGUCUCAGUGAAGGAGUGGGGCGUCUGUGUCUUUAAUGUCAGUGAAGGAGGUGUGGCCUCUCCAACGUUAGUCUCAGUGAAGGAGGUGUGGCUUCUGUGUCUUUAAUCUCAGUGAAGGAGGUGUGGCUUCUGUGUCUUUAGCCUCAGUGAAGGAGGUGGGGCUUCUGUUUCUUUAGUGUUAGUGAAGGAGGUGUGGCUUCUGUGUCUUUAGCCUCAGUGAAGGAGGAGAGAAACAGAGAGUGACAUAGAAUAAACAAAGAGACAGACAGAGAGAGACAGAGUCAGUUAGACAGACACACC
ensembl:lncRNA